rnacentral:rRNA from 1 species
ACGGGAGGCAGCAGUGGGGAAUAUUGGGCAAUGGGCGCAAGCCUGACCUAGCAACGCCGCGUGAAGGAUGAAGGUCCUCGGAUUGUAAACUUCUUUGAUCAGGGACGAAUUUUGACGGUACCUGAAGAACAAGUCACGGCUAACUACGUGCCAGCAGCCGCGGUAAUACGUAGGUGACAAGCGUUAUCCGGAUUUACUGGGUGUAAAGGGCGUGUAGGCGGUUUAGCAAGUCAGAAGUGAAAUUCCCGGGCUUAACUUGGGCGCUGCUUCUGAAACUGCAGAACUUGAGUACUGGAGGGGAAAGCGGAAUUCCUAGUGUAGCGGUAAAAUGCACAGAUAUUAGGAGGAACACCGGUGGCGAAGGCGGCUUUCUGGACAGUAACUGACGCUGAGGCGCGAAAGCGUGGGGAGCAAACAGGAUUAGAUACCCUGGUA